rnacentral:rRNA from 1 species
AUUUUCCGCAAUGGGCGAAAGCCUGACGGAGCAAUGCCGCGUGGAGGUGGAAGGCCUACGUGUCGUCAACUUCUUUUCUCGGAGAAGAAACAAUGACGGUAUCUGAGGAAUAAGCAUCGGCUAACUCUGUGCCAGCAGCCGCGGUACGCCAGAGGAUGCAAGCGUUAUCCGGAAUGGUUGGGCGGAAAGCGUCUGUAGGUGGCUUUUCAAGUCCGCCGUCAAAUCCCAGGGCUCAACCCUGGACAGGCGGUGGAAACUACCAAGCUGGAGUACGGUAGGGGCAGAGGGAAUUUCCGGUGGAGCGGUGAAAUGCGUAGAGAUCGGAAAGAACACCAACGGUGAAAGCACUCUGCUGGGCCGACACUGACACUGAGAGACGAAAGCUAGGGGAGCAAGUGG